rnacentral:ncRNA from 2 species
CUUGAUCUUAGCCAAAAGGCCGA